CCUUGAAAUACCACCCUUUAAUGUUUGAUGUUCUAACGUUGGCCCCUGAUCGGGGUUGCGGACAGUGUCUGGUGGGUAGUUUGACUGGGGCGGUCUCCUCCUAAAGAGUAACGGAGGAGCACGAAGGUUGGCUAAUCCUGGUCGGACAUCAGGAGGUUAGUGCAAUGGCAUAAGCCAGCUUGACUGCGAGCGUGACGGCGCGAGCAGGUGCGAAAGCAGGUCAUAGUGAUCCGGUGGUUCUGAAUGGAAGGGCCAUCGCUCAACGGAUAAAAGGUACUCCGGGGAUAACAGGCUGAUACCGCCCAAGAGUUCAUAUCGACGGCGGUGUUUGGCACCUCGAUGUCGGCUCAUCACAUCCUGGGGCUGAAGUAGGUCCCAAGGGUAUGGCUGUUCGCCAUUUAAAGUGGUACGCGAGCUGGGUUUAGAACGUCGUGAGACAGUUCGGUCCCUAUCUGCCGUGGGCGCUGGAGAACUGAGGGGGGCUGCUCCUAGUACGAGAGGACCGGAGUGGACGCAUCACUGGUGUUCGGGUUGUCAUGCCAAUGGCACUGCCCGGUAGCUAAAUGCGGAAGAGAUAAGUGCUGAAAGCAUCUAAGCACGAAACUUGCCCC
rnacentral:rRNA from 1 species